UUACCUUUUUAAUGGUCACCGGAAAUGCGACAUCUGAGGAAAUUUAUCGCAUUAUAUUAUCUGGCAUCAUAAAAAAAAUAUGGAAGAAAAAUUUAUGUAGGCUUAUAAACCGAAUGUAAUAUAACAUAAAAGCAAUUUAAAAUUCUGAAGGUCCAAAAAUCACUACAUUCAAAGAGAUCACACGUUUGUGUAACUAUAUUUGCCUUUGUAAAAGACAUUAUACUCCCUGAAAAGAAGAAGGCAAAACGAAACACAGAGCAUGUCGGAACUUCUUUUGAAAAAUAUCAAUAAAAAAAACUAGGAAACAAGAAAGGCACUUCAAAUUUCAAGCGCAUUAUAUCAUUCUCCGGUAAACCCCCCCCCCCCCCGUAGUUACUCCUCUGCCUCUGUGUGAAAAUAAAAAUUAAAUUACAUUUUUAUUUUGUUCAAAUUUUAAGGGUUAAUCGAUAUUUAAAAUACUGAUUUUCACAUAACAUUUUUUAA